rnacentral:rRNA from 1 species
UACGGAGGAGGCAAGCGUUAUCCGGAAUUAUUGGGCGUAAAGGGCUCGUAGGCGGUUUGUCGCGUCGGGAGUGAAAACACCGGGCUUAACUCGGUGCUUGCUUUCGAUACGGGCAGACUAGAGGCAUGCAGGGGAGAACGGAAUUCCUGGUGUAGCGGUGAAAUGCGCAGAUAUCAGGAGGAACACCGGUGGCGAAGGCGGUUCUCUGGGCAUGUCCUGACGCUGAGGAGCGAAAGUGUGGGGAGCGAACAGG